UACGUAGGGCGCAAGCGUUAUCCGGAAUUAUUGGGCGUAAAGAGCUCGUAGGCGGUUUGUCGCGUCUGCCGUGAAAGUCCGGGGCUCAACUCCGGAUCUGCGGUGGGUACGGGCAGACUAGAGUGAUGUAGGGGAGACUGGAAUUCCUGGUGUAGCGGUGAAAUGCGCAGAGUAUCAGGAGGAACACCGAUGGCGAAGGCAGGUCUCUGGGCAUUAACUGACGCUGAGGAGCGAAAGCAUGGGGAGCGAACAGG
rnacentral:rRNA from 1 species